CACUAGAGUUUCUCCUGUGUUUGAUUGUGUGGCGCUCAACUCUAACUGUCCUGUGUGUAACACUUUGACAGCUGAAAGAGUAGCAGCUAUGGAGAACAGCCCGACAGAAAGCAAGAAGAAUAGCCUUUGUGCAUUCUUAAGAAAAUUGCUGACUUUUAAAAGUGACAAUCAGUGUCAACGUCGAAGCAACCGAGUGGCUCCUCUUCAGCCUGGUCCAUCCGGCCUCCAGCCAACGGCUCAACAGGAUCAAACUGAUUGUCAGCCGGGUCCAUCCAGUGUCAAGCCAACGAGCUGUGAUGCAAAUCCAGAUGAUCCUGUGGCAGCUGAAG